CAAGGAUUCCGCUAGUAACUGCGAGUGAAGCGGGAAAAGCUCAAAUUUAAAAUCUGAGGGUCUUUAUGGCCUUCCGAGUUGUAAUCUAGAGAAGUGCUAUCCGCGCUGGACCGUGUACAAGUCUCCUGGAACGGAGCGUCAUAGAGGGUGAGAAUCCCGUCUUUGACACGGACUACCAGGGCUUAUGUGAUGCGCUCUCAAAGAGUCGAGUUGUUUGGGAAUGCAGCUCUAAAUGGGUGGUAAAUUCCAUCUAAAGCUAAAUAUUGGCGAGAGACCGAUAGCGAACAAGUACCGUGAGGGAAAGAUGAAAAGAACUUUGGAAAGAGAGUUAAACAGUACGUGAAAUUGUUGAAAGGGAAACGCUUGAAGUCAGUCGCAUUGGCCAGGGAUCAACCUUGCUUUUGCUUGGUGUAUUUUCUGGUUAAUGGGUCAGCAUCAAUUUUGAUCGGUGGAAAAAGAUCAAGGGAAUGUGGCAUCUUCGGAUGUGUUAUAGCCUUUGGUUGUAUACAUCGGUUGGGAUUGAGGAACUCAGCACGCCGCAAGGCCGGGUUUUUAACCACGUACGUGCUUAGGAUGCUGGCAUAAUGGCUUUAAUCGACCCGUCUUGAAACACGGACCAAGGAGUCUAACAUGCACGCGAGUGUUUGGGUGGAAAACCCGAGCGCGUAAUGAAAGUGAAAAUUGAGAUCUCUGUCGUGGGGAGCAUCGAUGCCCGGACCAGACCUUUUGUGACGGUUCGCGGUUGAGCGUGUAUGCUGGGACCCGAAAGAUGGUGAACUAUGCCUGAUUAGGGUGAAGCCAGAGGAAACUCUGGUGGAGGCUCGUAGCGAUUCUGACGUGCUAAUCGAUCGUCAAAUUUGGGUAUAGGAGCGAAGG
rnacentral:rRNA from 1 species